ACGGGUGAGUAACGCGUAGGCAACCUGCCCGUUUGCACAGGGAUAGCCAUUGGAAACGAUGAUUAAAACCUGAUAACACCAUUUGGUUACAUGAGCAGAUGGUCAAAGAUUUAUCGGCAAAGGAUGGGCCUGCGUCUGAUUAGCUAGUUGGUAAGGUAACGGCUUACCAAGGCGACGAUCAGUAGCCGACCUGAGAGGGUGAACGGCCACAUUGGAACUGAGACACGGUCCAAACUCCUACGGGAGGCAGCAGUGGGGAAUAUUGCACAAUGGGCGAAAGCCUGAUGCAGCAACGCCGCGUGAAGGAAGAAGGCCUUCGGGUCGUAAACUUCUGUCCUUGGGGAAGAAGAACUGACGGUACCCAAGGAGGAAGCCCCGGCUAACUACGUGCCAGCAGCCGCGGUAAUACGUAGGGGGCAAGCGUUAUCCGGAAUUAUUGGGCGUAAAGAGUACGUAGGUGGCAACCUAAGCGCAGGGUUUAAGGCAAUGGCUCAACCAUUGUUCGCCCUGCGAACUGGGAUGCUUGAGUGCAGGAGAGGAAAGCGGAAUUCCUAGUGUAGCGGUGAAAUGCGUAGAUAUUAGGAGGAACACCAGUGGCGAAGGCGGCUUUCUGGACUGUAACUGACACUGAGGUACGAAAGCGUGGGGAGCAAACAGGAUUAGAUACCCUGGUAGUCCACGCCGUAAACGAUGAGCACUAGGUGUCGGGGUCGCAAGACUUCGGUGCCGUAGUUAACGCAUUAAGUGCUCCGCCUGGGGAGUACGCACGCAAGUGUGAAACU
rnacentral:rRNA from 1 species